rnacentral:rRNA from 1 species
AGAGUGAACGCUGGCGGUAGGCCUAACACAUGCAAGUCGAACGGCAGCACAGUGGUAGCAAUACCAUGGGUGGCGAGUGGCGGACGGGUGAGGAAUACAUCGGAAUCUACCUUUUCGUGGGGGAUAACGUAGGGAAACUUACGCUAAUACCGCAUACGCCCUUUGGGGGAAAGCCGGGGAUCGCAAGACCUGGCGCGGAUAGAUGAGCCGAUGUCGGAUUAGCUAGUUGGUGAGGUAAUGGCUCACCAAGGCGACGAUCCGUAGCUGGUCUGAGAGGAUGAUCAGCCACACUGGAACUGAGACACGGUCCAGACUCCUACGGGAGGCAGCAGUGGGGGAAUAUUGGACAAUGGGGCGCAAGCCUGAUCCAGCCAUACCGCGUGGGUGAAGAAGGGCCUUCGGGGUUAGUAAAACGGUCCCUUUUAGGUUAGGGGUAAAAG